rnacentral:rRNA from 1 species
AAGAACCAACAGGGAUUGCCCUAGUAACGGCGAGUGAAGCGGCAACAGCUCAAAUUUGAAAUCUGGCCUUCGGGUCCGAGUUGUAAUUUGUAGAGGAUGCUUUUGGCGCGGUGCCUUCCGAGUUCCCUGGAACGGGACGCCUUAGAGGGUGAGAGCCCCGUACGGUUGGACACCAAGCCUCUGUAAAGCUCCUUCGACGAGUCGAGUAGUUUGGGAAUGCUGCUCUAAAUGGGAGGUAAAUUUCUUCUAAAGCUAAAUAUUGGCCAGAGACCGAUAGCGCACAAGUAGAGUGAUCGAAAGAUGAAAAGCACUUUGAAAAGAGGGUUAAAUAGCACGUGAAAUUGUUGAAAGGGAAGCGUUUGCGACCAGACUUUUUCCUAGCGGAUCAUCCGGUGUUUUCACCGGUGCACUUUGCUAGGUUAAGGCCAGCAUCGGUUUCUGUAGGGGGAUAAAAGCUUGGGGAAUGUAGCUCCCUCGGGAGUGUUAUAGCCUCUUGCAUAAUACCCUUACGGGGACCGAGGACCGCGCUUUUGCAAGGAUGCUGGCGUAAUGGUUGUCAACGACCCGUCUUGAAACACGGACCAAGGAGUCGAACAUUUGUGCGAGUGUUUGGGUGUUAAACCCUCACGCGUAAUGAAAGUGAACGGAGGUGAGAGCCCUUACGGGUGCAUCAUCGACCGAUCCUGAUGUCUUCGGAUGGAUUUGAGUAAGAGCAUAACUGUUCGGACCCGAAAGAUGGUGAACUAUGCGUGGAUAGGGUGAAGCCAGAGGAAACUCUGGUGGAGGCUCGCAGCGGUUCUGACGUGCAAAUCGAUCGUCAAAUCUGCGCAUGGGGGCGAAAGACUUAUCGAACCA